rnacentral:rRNA from 1 species
UACGAAGGGGGCUAGCGGUGCUCGGAUUUACUGGGCGUAAAGGGCGCGUAGGCGGCGGACACAGUCAGACGUGAAAUUCCUGGGCUCAACCUGGGGGCUGCGUUUGAUACAUGUCUGCUUGAGUUCGGAAGAGGGUCGUGGAAUUCCCAGUGUAGAGGUGAAAUUCGUAGAUAUUGGGAAGAACACCGGUGGCGAAGGCGGCGACCUGGUCCGAUACUGACGCUGAGGCGCGAAAGCGUGGGGAGCAAACAGG